rnacentral:lncRNA from 1 species
AGCUGAGGAGGCCACAUCACAUGAGGAAGCUUUACUGUUUCCCCUUCUCCUGAAAUGUGUCUGGGAUGGAGAGUGUGGAGAGUGGGCCCACCUUUAUCUGGGUCCACUCAGGCUGCUGCAGAGACUACCCCAGACUGGGUGGCUGAUAGACAAGACAUUCAUUUUCCACACUUCCUGAGACUGAGAAGUCUGAGUUGAAGAAACCUGGAAGCAAGGAAGCCGCCACCAUGAUGCAGCGGGGAGUCCGAGGCCCUGGGAGGUCAUAUGACUCAUUCACGGUCAUCCUGCUGUGGCAGAGAUGCGAUGAAGCCCUGGCUUUGACCCCAACCCCAGGUGCCAGAGUCUUCCCUGCCCUGUACAGCCCUGCUCAUGCCAUGGUCUCCUGUGGACGUUCCCUCCUUCCCACGUUGGCGGUAUUGCUGUCCAAGCUUUGCAGGGGAGGAAUCUGAGGAAUUGAGAAGUCAAGUAACACACCCAAUAGGAUAACUAGGCCUUCUUGGCAGCCAACCUCGAAGCACCACAUCGGGCUUUGAAAUGUGCGGGGCCUUUGAGAUUCAGCGCAUCUGAAUCUGAAUUUAUGCCCUCUCACUUGCUGGAAUCUACUGAUCUGUCCACUGUUCCUGGAAGAAAUACUUUGUUUUCAUGUGCCAGUUGCCUUUCCAGCCUGACUGUCAGCCCAAGGUCGCAGGAGAAGAUCUGAUUGCAUGUCCUUGCUUUUGCUGCUCCCAUUCCAAGAACCAGCUUCCUCCUCUGGAAGGUCGACUGAGGGGGGCUUGACUGGACUUGGCUCAAGGCUGCAAGUGGUCCAGGUCUGCUCUGUGUGUCUUUCAUCCUCCCCAACCAGUUAGAAAACGUGAUAUCCUCUUCUACGAUGAUGAUGGAAAUACAAAAUUGGACCCACUGGGCCGCUCCAGGUGUUUCCUUGCCUCCUCUUCUGAAAAUUCGGGACUGCCAUACAGACACCUCCCGGCUCUUCUGUGUGGUCAGGCGGCAAAAGAAAGCAUCAUCGGAGCCCAGCAUGGGAGGAGGAGAGAGGCUUUGCUUCAUGAAAGCCUGAACAGCAUCCAACCGAAACCAGCCACCGCCGCCGCGCCCUGACGUGGUACUCUGCAGUUUUCAGAGUGCAUCGCAUCCAUUAUCUCCCCUGACCCACAGACAGGCCGGCGAAGAAGGCUGAUAUGAGGUCACCCAGCCCCCUUCACAACCUUGGACCAGCAAGGCCAUUGCAAUAAAAGCCGAGGUUGGGAAGAGUGAGGCUCAGAGACCACAGAGAUACUUUGACACAUGGAAAAAGGCAAGACUUCCUUCCCAGGAGAUUUAUCAUUCUUCAAAAAAAUGGGGUUCUCAAAGAUUCAAGGUAUUUGCUAUUCAUGCUAUUCAUGCAAACACACUUGUGCCUUGGUGUUUUAUGGUAAGGAUUCUGGGAACCAUAGUGAAGACCAGAAUCUCCAUUCCUGACACCCGUGUACUGGAAGCCACUCCCCUCGCCCCUCCCAAAUUAAAUCCACUUGGAGCCUCAGAAUGGGACAUUUCUUGGAAUAAGGAUUUCAGCAGACAUAAUUAGAGUAAGGGAGAGAUGACCUCAUCCUGGAGGAGGGUGGACCCUUAGUCCAAUGACAAGUGUCCUUAUGGGAGACAGAAAGGAGAAGACACAUAGACACAGGGGAGAAGGUCCUGUGAAGACAAAGGCAGAAGCUGCAAUGAUGGGUUUACAAGCCAAGGAAUGCCAGGGGUUUCUGGCAUCACAGAAUCUAGGAGAGUAUCUGGAAUGGACUUUUUUUUUUUUCCCAAGGUCAUUGCUUACUUUUAUUUAUUUAGUGAUUUUUAUUUUUUUUCAUUACAGUUGGUUUUCAGUGGUCUGUCAAUUCUCUACUAUACAGCAAAGUGACCCAGUCACACAUACAUAUAUACAUUUUUUAUCACAUUAUCUUCUAUCAUGUUCCAUCACAAGUGAGUAUAUAUAGUUCCUAGUGCUAUACAGCAGGAUCUCAUUGCUUAUCCAUUCCAAAGGCAAUAGUUUGCAUCUGGAAUGGACUUUCAGAGCUUCCAGAAGGAACCAAUCCUGCCAACACCCUGAUUUCAGACAUCUGGCCUCUAGAACUGUUGAGAACUGUUACUUCAAGCCACCCAAUUGUGGUCAUUUGUCACCUAGGCACCUCUAGUAAGUGAAUGAAAUGGAGCAGUGUAAAAAUACAAGGGAAGCCCAGCAGGGCCAUCGGGACCAGGAAGUCGGGGGUCCUCACCCCUCGCCAUCACGUGUGGGUACCCUCUGCUUCUCUUCCUGGCACCUCUCAGCUCCUCUAUCACUCUGCUCUUCCAGCUGCCACCAGCCCGCCACAUUGCCCCUCCAGAGGUCCUCCCUUUGCUUAAGGCUCUGCUGCUGAGCUGUCCUGUGUCUAUCAGUCUGGGGUCUUUCCAUGUCUGUUACAUAUGCUAACCUGCCAACUCUCUCAUUAUAUUAAAAAUGUCCAAGAGAGGUGAGCUGAUGGUUGAGCUCACCACCAUCACCCCCCAAAGGGCAAAGCUUUCACCCCAGGCCAGCUCACAGGCAGCAGACCUUGGCCCUGAUCCUCCAGGCAUGGCCAGGGAGGUGGGCCAGGCAUUCCCAUCAGCACAGGGGGCCCUGGAAGGGCAGGACAGAUGCCUGGAAACAGUCCCAGGUUGGUGGCCCCUUCAAUGCUGAGACUAAACUUCCUGCAGAAUUGAAGAAUAGGCAGUAGGAAGGCGAAAGGGAAGAAGCACUUUUUUUUUUUUUUCCAAUAGAAGAAGGAAAGUGUCAUCAAUAGAAGCUGUUGAAAAGUCCAAAUUGCAACCUUCUUGCCUCCUUUUGAUGAGCUGCCUUGAUGAGCUGUUUAGAAGAGCUCAUUGCUCUGGGUCAGCGUGACAGCUGUUGAUGACAAGGGGUAGGCGGGGAGAGGUUAGGCAGGAGGAAUAUGCGGCCAGGGCCCUGGCCAUGAUGGAUAUGCACCAAGCUUGUGCACCCCAGGUCUUUGCAAAGGGUCCAUGACAAACAGCCCAUGGUGCAUUGGGUGUUUUACUGUAAUUCACUCCCCAAAUGCUUCUGGUGUGCAGCCCUGUGCUGAAGACACUGCCGAGACAUCCUCUCAUUCACUUUCUCCCAAGCUCCAGAGAGUGGAUGUCAGGUUGAGCUUAUGUAGUUCAGGGAUUGCAGAUGUGAACACCCAAAGUCCCAGAACCAGUACGUGAUGGAGUCAGGAUUCAAACUUAGGUCAGAGGAGGCUAGAGACAUGGCUGAGCACAGUGUAUGGUCCUUGGGGGCAUGAAGGAGAGCUAUAAAGGAUGUUAUGAGGAAUCCAGAUCAGAUAAUAGUUUUCUAUGGAGGUUAAAUUUCCCGAGUUUAAUAACUAUACUAUGAAAAUGUAGGAGAAGUUUAAGACUAAUAGGAACAAUGUCCCCAGUGUACUCUUAAAUAGAUGAGGGAGGGGAUGCGUGGAGGGAGAGAGGGAGAGAAUGAGAAAGGGAGAAUAAUAAAGUGAAUGAGACAAAAUGUGGUGAACUAUGGGUUGAUUUGCAUCUCCUAGAAUUUUAUAUAAACGUUAUUAUGUUGAAUGUACUCCUUUUUGCUGGCUUCUCUCAUACAUAAUUUCUUUGAGAGCCAUCCAUGUUGUAGCAGGCAUCCAAAUUCAUUCCUUUUCAUAGCUAAGUAGUAUUUCAUCUAACGGAUAAACCAGUUUGUCUAUUCAUUCCCCUGCUGUUGGACACUGGUUGUUUUCAGUUUUGGGCAGUCAGGAAUCAAGCAGCCAUGAUUUGUGUCCCAGUUCUUUGGGUGGGCAUUGCUUUUGUUUCAACAGAAUGCCUAGAUCAUAUAUAUGGUAGGUGUGUGUUAACUGUUUAAGAAAUUGCCCAACUAUUUUCCAAAGCAGCUGUACCCCCCAGUAGUGCACGAGGCUUCCUGUUUCUCCACAUUCUUUCCUUGGUAUGGACUGACUUGGUAUUGCUGGUCUUUUCCAUUAGAGCCCUUCCAGUGGACCUGUAGUGAUGUCUCCUUGUGGUUUUCACUUGCAUUUUCCUAGUGACCAGUGGUGUUGCUCUUAUCCCCCUGCCAUUCCCUCUCCUGCUUUUCUGGGGGCACUGCGACCUUCUGGGGCAAGACCUCAGGGACUUGCCCCUACAGCCCAGAGGUGAACAGUCACGUCCCGAACAGAAAGCAUGCAAGUGGAUGGGCCCAGGAUGAAGACUGGAGGGCCACAUAAGAGCCUGGGGUGCUUUCAGGCCAAGGUAUUUGUCCCAUGGCUCUGACGAGCAGAACCCACCCUUCAGAUGGGGCACCCACCUGCUCAGCAGCCCAUGCUCGAGCUUUUCCACAGGCAGGCAGUCAGUACACAGCAUGCUUCAGGUCCUAACCCUCAGAUGUGAUGUGUUUGCUCAACAACCCUUAAGUUCCUCCCCUGUGUUCAGUUCUGUGACCAGUAUAAGCCUUUGAUGGGUUUUGGUUAUUGGCAAUUAUCAGAGUAAAGUGAAAACUCUCAAGGAUAAUCUGCAAGGCCUUUCUUGAUCAAGUUCCUAAAUUUGGUCUUUCCUACCACAUCCUUCCACAUCCCUCCAGCCUACGCUCCACAUCUAACAAACACCCCAGUGUCCCAGACUUGCCAGCUCCUUCCUGCCUCCCUGCCUUAACCUUCCCUCCUGCUUCUCCCUCCCUUGGCCAGUGGAGACCUUCUCAGCCUGUCACAGCACCAAGCGUCCCUUGUGCCUCUCCUCAACCUCAAAGGAUGGUUUUUUCAGGACCAGCAUGGUCUCAACUGGAUCCAUGUACAGUUUAUGCGGGUCACGGGGAGUGGGGAGGGGGCUGUGAGCCGAAAGGCUGGAUGCUGUUACACACCCACUGCAGCACACAGAGGUUCCUCGUCAGCUGGGCCCGGCUGAAUUGAGUGCAUUUCUGCACCAUGCCUUCCCCCCCUGAUCGUGGGGACUGGGAUGACUCCCCACCGCCACCACUCCCACAUGUGGCUCACAAGUCACUCCAAUUGCCGGAGGUGGCACUCGCCAUGUUCUGAAAAGCUAAGUGCCUUCGCCCCCUUCGCCACCCUUACCUGGAACAGCCAUUUUUGUUGUGUGAACACAUGGCCCGGGAACUUAAACACUAAAACCAGUUAGUUCCUCAGGGGGCGUCAUCUUAACCAUGCCAAACUCAACAAGAUAUAAACUGGUCCUAGAAGCCUUCUCUUCCUCCUUCCUUCAUUUUUUUUUUUUUCUUUUUCUUGUUCCAGCAGCACUUAUCCAUCUGUGCUUCCACCACAGAGCUAUUCCCACUAGAAAUGCCGUGAAACCUUUCAAAUAAAAUAUUUAACGUGUGGAUCCAGUAAUUUUAUGUUGUGAGUUAUGAAACCUUUAUUCAGGUCCCACCUUUUAUUAAACUUCAGGGUUCGCCUUUGGUCUCUAAUGACAUUAUGUUGCAUCAGAAUUAGACAGUUUUUUACAGGGGUUUGUAUUAUUUGUUGUGACUCGGUAAUGCUAAUGUUUAAAUUUUGAGUCCUUUUACUGCUGAUUAAACCUCUAAAGACUACAGCAGAAUUUCCGCUUCGCUGCUAGAAGAAAAGAAAACAGCGCGGUUUGUUCUGAGGAGAUCACUUGAAGAAUGUGCGGGAAGGUGGCUGCAUUUAUGAAUAAAGCGAGGCAUUAUCAUUUUUAAUAGGAAUUAAACAGCUAGAGGGAGAAGUCGGGCAAUGCUGUGAUCAGUGCAAAGGAAAACAAUCUAACAAUUUUAAUUAACUGUAUUUUAAUAGCUUUAGUUAUAAUUGAAUAAUUUAAAUACCAAGGGAAACAGUUAAAUCUCCUAAAAGCCUUUUUUUAUUUACAUUUUAAAUACAGUUCACGGUGAAGAGAUGACAGUACAAGUGCUGGGAGCAAAUCACCGGGUCGACUCCAGCAGCCGGGCAAGCCCACGAGAGGUAGGAUGGAGCCCGAGUGAUCCCGGGCCGGGGACUGGCGUGCCUCGCUGCCUCGGCCGAGAUGGGCCCCAGAAAGAACCCAGGGCAGCAGUGGGCAGUGAGGACUUCCCAUCCCGCCCAGGGCCUACAGCUCGUCUGACGUCAAAGCUCAAAGCCCCCAGGCCAGUGGGGCCUGGAGUGACUCUUGCUAUUCAUUCAACGUUCAAGCGAUAUUUAUUGCAGGCCUACAGUAACAACCACCACGGCAGUAAUAAAACAGUAGAAGUAACAGCUGACAC